rnacentral:tRNA from 1 species
GCUGAUGUGGUGGAAUUGGUAUACACAAAGGAUUUAAAAUCCUUCGCUUUAAGCAUACGAGUUCAAAUCUCGUCAUCAGCACCA